rnacentral:tRNA from 1 species
GAUAUAGCUCAGCUGGUAGACUGCUUGUCUCACAUGCACAUGCACAAGGCCCUGGGUUCAAUCCCCAGCAACA